UACAGAGGUGGCAAGCGUUGUUCGGAAUUACUGGGCGUAAAGGGCGCGUAGGCGGCCCGUCAAGUCCCGUGUGAAAGCCCCCGGCUCAACCGGGGAACGGCGCGGGAAACUAGCAGGCUUGAGUUCGGGAGAGGGAAGCGGAAUUCCGGGUGUAGCGGUGAAAUGCGCAGAUAUCAGGAGGAACACCAAUGGCGAAGGCAGCUCGCUGGAACGGUACUGACGCUGAGGCGCGAAAGCGUGGGGAGCAAACAGG
rnacentral:rRNA from 1 species